rnacentral:rRNA from 1 species
GACGAACGCUGGCGGCGUGCUUAACACAUGCAAGUCGAACGGAAAGGCCUGCUUUCCCUUGUGGAUUGCGGGUACUCGAGUGGCGAACGGGUGAGUAACACGUGAGUGAUCUGCCCCCAACUUGGGUAUAAGCCUGGGAAACUGGGUCUAAUUCCCGAUAGGACUGCAGGGUGGUGCCUGUGGUGGAAAACGAUUUUCUAGUGGUUGGGGAUGAGCUCGCGGCCUAUCAGCUUGUUGGUGGGGUAAUGGCCUACCAAGGCGGCGACGGGUAGCCGGCCUGGGGGGGUGGACGGCCACAUUGGGACUGAGAUACGGCCCAGACUCCUACGGGAGGAAGCAGUGGGGAAUAUUGCACAAUGGGCGGAAGCCUGAUGCAGCGACGCCGCGUGGGGGAUGACGGCCUUCGGGUUGUAAACUCCUUUCGACCGCGAGGAAGCCACCUGGUUGGAAGGGUGGUGACGGUAGUGGUAGAAGAAGCACCGGCUAACUACGUG